AACGAACGCUGGCGGCAGGCCUAACACAUGCAAGUCGAGCGGACCCUUCGGGGUUAUCGGCGGACGGGGGAGUAACGAGUGGGAAUAUGCCCUUCUCUACGGAAUAGUCGUGGGUAAGUGGGGGUAAUACCGUAUACGCCCUUUGGGGGUAGGAUUUAUGGGGGCAGGAUUAGCCCGCGUUGGAUUAGGUAGUUGGUGGGGUAAUGGCCUACCAAGACGACGAUCCAUAGCUGGUUUGAGAGGAUGAUCCGCCACACUGGGACUGCGACACGGCCCAGACUCCUACGGGAGGCAGCAGUGGGGAAUCUUAGACAAUGGGGGCAACCCUGAUCUAGCCAUGCCGCGUGAGUGAUGAAGGCCUUAGGGUUGUAAAGCUCUUUCAGCUGGGAAGAUAAUGACGGUACCAGCAGAAGAAGCCCCGGCUAACUCCGUG
rnacentral:rRNA from 1 species